rnacentral:rRNA from 1 species
CGCGGCCUAUCAGCUUGUUGGUGGGGUAAUGGCCUACCAAGGCGACGACGGGUAGCCGGCCUGAGAGGGUGACCGGCCACACUGGGACUGAGAUACGGCCCAGACUCCUACGGGAGGCAGCAGUGGGGAAUAUUGCACAAUGGGCGCAAGCCUGACGCAGCAACGCCGCGUGCGGGAAGAAGGCUCUCGGGUUGUAAACCGCUUUCAGCAGGAACGAAAAUGACGGUACUUGCAGAAGAAGGUGCGGCCAACUACGUGCCAGCAGCCGCGGUGACACGUAGGCACCAAGCGUUGUCCGGAUUUAUUGGGCGUAAAGAGCUCGUAGGCGGUUCGGUAAGUCGGGUGUGAAAACUUGGGGCUUAACCCCAAGCCUGCAUCCGAUACUGCUGUGACUAGAGUUCGGUAGGGGAGCGGGGAAUUCCUAGUGUAGCGGUGAAAUGCGCAGAUAUUAGGAGGAACACCGGUGGCGAAGGCGCCGCUCUGGGCCGAUACUGACGCUGAGGAGCGAAAGCGUGGGUAGCAAACAGGAUUAGAUACCCUGGUAGUCCACGCCGUAAACGUUGGGCACUAGGUGUGGGUUUCAACCAACGAGAUCCGUGCCGCAGCUAACGCAUUAAGUUCCCCGCCUGGGGAGUACGGA